rnacentral:lncRNA from 1 species
CUGGAGCGGCUCGGCUAUCGGCGCGGCUCGGCUCAAGGAAGAAAAACGGCUCGGGGGAGCGGCUUGGCGGCUUGGAUCGGCUCGGCUCGGCUCGGAGGGGGGCUGGCACGCGCGGGUCAGAAUCGGGUCGACGCUCGGGUCGGGUCGGGUUACGGCAAAACGCGCGGAUCCUCUGGGUUACUUAAGGCCAAAACGACGUCGUUUUGGGAGGGUAUAAAAGGCACCUUCCUCCGUUUUUCGGCAGAACGCUCCCCCCUCUCUCUCUCUUCUUCCCUUUUUCUCUCCCUUCUCUCUAGAAAAUGAAGAACACCGGUGCCGGAUUCUGGAAAAAUUCGCCGGAAUCUGGAAAUUUAGCCGGAAUUUCGCCG